AUGAUUUUUGCCUUUGAAUUCUUGAGUGGUCCUCCGUUCCUAGGUCACAAGGGUAUUCUGCUGGAUAUUCUUUUGUUUUAAUUGUAUCUUUUAGGUGUUCAGUCCACCUGGAGUCUACCCUUUUGGGUGAUGAAGACAGGGACCCAGCUUUAAGUUUGUCCUGGGUAGGUUUAGGUUUAGCGAGGGCUGGCUACCUUCACUCACAUGGGAUUUAGAAGCCCAGUCAGUCCACUCAUCAGUGUUUGUCUUAGUGGUUUGCUCAUCAGUCCAAUAAUUCCUUUGAGGAUGUGAGACCGCAGCAGGACCCUCACUUGUAUAUAUUUUGUGUUUAUAUAAACAGUCACAUUCUAGAUUCAUAUAAUUGUAGUACAAACAAGAGAGAACUACAGUUCUGGGAAAAAUGACUGUAAACUAUUUAACUUUUAAUAUAAGUUGUAGAUCAGCACUGUCCAACUGGACUUUAUGAGAUGAUGGAAACGCUUUCUGGCUGCACUGGUAGCUGUGAGCCACAGGUAGCUACUGAGCACUUGAUGUAGCUAGCAUAACUGAGGAACUGAAUUCUUAGUUUUAUUUAACUUUGAUUAAAUUUACUUUUUUUUUUUUUUUUUUUUUGAGACUGAGUUUCGCUCUUGUUGCCCAGGCUGGAGUGCAAUGGUAUGAUCUCAGCUCACUGCAACCUCCACCUCCCAGAUUCAAGCGAUUCUCCUGCCUCAGCCUCCCAAGUAGCUGGGACUAUAGGUACCCACCACCACGCCCGGCUAAUUUUUGUAUUUUUAGUAGAGACAGGUUUUCACCAUGUUGGCUAAAUUUAAAUAGCUACAUGUGACUGUGGUUACCAUAUUGGACGAUGCAGGCCAGAUUAAAACACUAGGACAGCACUGCAGAAAUUUAUGCAUUUAUUUGAGGUUUUAGGGGGUAAAAUGAGAAACAGAAAAGGAAAGAUGAACAAGCAGGAAGCUGUAAACAGAGUGUGGGAGUUAAUAUUUGUUAAGUGCCUACUCUGUGCCAGGCACAUACAUCCCUAAUUUAGCCCUGACUUGCACCCUAUGAGCUUGGGUGACUUACUCCCAUUUAAAAGAUUGGGAAGGCUGGACAGAUGGCCCACACCUGUAAUCCCAGCAUUUUGGGAGGCCGAGAUGGGUGAAUCACUUGAGCCCAGGAGUUCAAGAUCAACCUGGGCAACAUAGUGAGACUCCAUCUCUACAAAAAAUACAAAAAUUGGCUGAGCAUGGUGGCCUG
rnacentral:lncRNA from 1 species